rnacentral:lncRNA from 1 species
CAGAGCCUGAAAUAAUUUUAAAAUUUGUCCGGAAAAACUUCCGAUCAAAACGAAAUUUGACCGGAAAUUUGCAAAAUUGACCGGAAUUUUUUUUAGUUUAGUUUGACAAAGUCCACUCCCCCCCCCCCAAUGAGCAAACUCUGUCAAGCAUGCAGACGUGCACUGAGUAAAUCACUCUACUUGCAAUUGUGUAAGGUAAUUGUAACUGUAGCGAAAAUUCAAAAUGGUCGUGAGCCGACGGGUGUUUUAAAUUGAUUGACGGGUGAUUUAAAUUGCAAAUUAUUAAGACUCACCUCACAUUUUCACGACAACACCACGCUGUAAGCCACCUUCUUGUUUAUUGAGCCCGUGAACCAGCCUAGUUCCUGGCCUCGCUUCCGCCUCAUUAUUUUAGGGGGAAAUUGAUAAGGUUUGCAGGUUGACCGUGAUAAAGCUGUAUUAUUUGGAGACUGGGGAAACUGACAGCCCGCAAGUUCACGACAGCCUGUGACUCGCCCGCGCUUGGAGGUCAGGGACUAGGCUGCCCGUGAACUAUACUUUCCAGUUGAUUACUUUAUAUUAGCCUAAUAUAGAUAAUCCAAACUUACAGAUGGUACUCACUGUGCUGAGCGCCGACCCGAU